AUGGGACGGAGCACACGUAACCCUAUAUGGUGUCAGAUAUGGAAGUUAUCUUGUCCGGCUAAAGUCAAAAUAUUUUUAUGGCGGACACUACAUGGUACUCUUCCAUGUCGGGCAACACUCACUAAUAGACACAUGAAGGUCUCACCCUUGUGUCCUACAUGCUCCCAGGGUGUAGAAGAUACAAAGCACUUGCUUUUCCUAUGUAGAAAAGCGAAGGAGGUUUGGAAAAGGCUAGGGUUAGAUAUGAUUAUUGAGAGAGCUUGUGAGAUUGAUCGUGCCGGGGAGGCAAUACUGGAAUACUUAUUACUCCUUCCAGAUCAAGAUCUGCGCAUUAUGGGGUAUGAAAAUGUUCGAGAAAUGGUAGCUAUCUCUGCUCGGUAUCUAUGGUGGGAAAGAAGGAAAUUAGUGCAUAAGGAAUUCACUCAAGAUGCGACUCAGAUCUCAAUGGGGAUCAUAGCUCUUUACAUAUAA
rnacentral:rRNA from 1 species